AGCAGCCGCGGUAAUUCCAGCUCCAAUAGCGUAUAUUAAAGUUGUUGCAGUUAAAAGCUCGUAGUUGAAUUUCGGGGUUCAUACAUUGGUCGGGCUUUUGGUCUGUACUUAUGUAAUGGAUUCCUACCUUCUGAAUAACCAGCAUGCCAUUAAUUUGGUGCGCCGGGGAAGCAGGACUGUUACCUUGAAAAAUUGAGUGCUUAAAGCAGGCUAUCGCCUGAAUACAUUAGCAUGGAAUAAUGAAAUAGGACGGCAUGGUUCUAUUUUGUUGGUUUCUAGGAUCACCGUAAUGAUUAAUAGGGAUAGUUGGGGGCAUUAGUAUUCAAUUGUCAGAGGUGAAAUUCUUGGAUUUAUUGAAGACUAACUUCU
rnacentral:misc_RNA from 1 species